UAAAUUGAGAGUUUGAUCCUGGCUCAGGAUGAACGCUGGCGGCGUGCUUAACACAUGCAAGUCGAGCGAUGAAGUUUCCUUCGGGAAACGGAUUAGCGGCGGACGGGUGAGUAACACGUGGGUAAC
rnacentral:rRNA from 1 species